rnacentral:rRNA from 1 species
CAGUCGAACGGGUGAAGCAGUGCUUGCACUGUGAAUCUAGUGGCGCACGAGUGAGUAACGCGUGGGAAACUGCCCAUCACUGGGGAAUAACGUUUGGAAACGAACGCUAAUACCGCAUACGCCGGAAACGGGAAAGAUUUAUCGGUGAUGGAUGUGCCCGCGUUGGAUUAGCUUGUUGGUGGGGUAACGGCCUACCAAGGCGAUGAUCCAUAGCUGGUCUGAGAGGACGAUCAGCCACGCUGGAACUGAGACACGGUCCAGACUCCUACGGGAGGCAGCAGCUAAGAAUAUUGGGCAAUGGAGGAAACUCUGACCCAGCCAUGCCGCGUGAAUGAAGAAGGCCUUCGGGUUGUAAAGUUCUUUUAGUCGUGAAGAUGAUGACAGUAGCGACAGAAGAAGCACCGGCUAACUUCGUGCCAGCAGCCGCGGUAAUACGAAGGGUGCAAGCGUUGUUCGGAUUUACUGGGCGUAAAGCGUCCGUAGGUGGUUUGUUAAGUCAGGGGUGAAAUCCCGGGGCCCAACCCCGGAACUGCCUUUGAUACUGGCAAGCUGGAGCGUGAUAGAGGAAGAUGGAAUAUCUGGUGUAGGGGUGAAAUCCGUAGAUAUCAGAUGGAACACCAAUGGCGAAGGCAGUCUUCUGGAUCAUUGCUGACACUGAGGGACGAAAGCGUGGGUAGCAAACAGAAUUAGAUACUCUGGUAGUCCACGCUGUAAACGAUGAUGACUAACCGUCGGCGAUACACAGUCGGUGGCCAAGCGAAAGCGAUAAGUCAUCCACCUGGGGAGUACGGCCGCAAGGC